AGAGUGAACGCUGGCGGCAGGCCUAAUACAUGCAAGUCGAACGGCAGCACAGCAGAGCUUGCUCUGUGGGUGGCGAGUGGCGGACGGGUGAGGAAUACAUGGGAAUCUGCCCAGUCGUGGGGGAUAACGUAGGGAAACUUACGCUAAUACCGCAUGCGCCCUUCGGGGGAAAGCCGGGGACCUUCGGGCCUGGCGCGAUUGGAUGAGCCCAUGUCGGAUUAGCUAGUUGGCGGGGUAAUGGCCCACCAAGGCGACGAUCCGUAGCUGGUCUGAGAGGAUGAUCAGCCACACUGGAACUGAGACACGGUCCAGACUCCUACGGGAGGCAGCAGUAGGGAAUAUUGGACAAUGGGCGCAAGCCUGAUCCAGCCAUGCCGCGUGAGUGAAGAAGGCCCUCGGGUUGUAAAGCUCUUUUGUCCGGAAAGAAAAGCGCCGGGUUAAUACCCUGGUGUCCUGACGGUACCGGAAGAAUAAGCACCGGCUAACUUCGUG
rnacentral:rRNA from 1 species